rnacentral:rRNA from 1 species
UACGUAGGGGGCAAGCGUUGUCCGGAAUUAUUGGGCGUAAAGAGCUCGUAGGCGGCUAGUCGCGUCGGCUGUGAAAACCUGGGGCUCAACCCCGGGCCUGCAGACGAUACGGGCUAGCUAGAAUUCGGUAGGGGAGACUGGAAUUCCUGGUGUAGCGGUGAAAUGCGCAGAUAUCAGGAGGAACACCGGUGGCGAAGGCGGGUCUCUGGGCCGGUACUGACGCUGAGAUGCGAAAGCGUGGGGAGCAAACAGG